AUUAAACGCUGGCGGCAUGCCUUACACAUGCAAGUCGAACGGCAGCACGGGGGCAACCCUGGUGGCGAGUGGCGAACGGGUGAGUAAAGCAUCGGAACGUGCCCUGGAGUGGGGGAUAACGUAGCGAAAGUUACGCUAAUACCGCAUAUUCUGUGAGCAGGAAAGCAGGGGAUCGCAAGACCUUGCGCUCUGGGAGCGGCCGAUGUCGGAUUAGCUAGUUGGUGGGGUAAAGGCCUACCAAGGCGACGAUCCGUAGCGGGUCUGAGAGGAUGAUCCGCCACACUGGGACUGAGACACGGCCCAGACUCCUACGGGAGGCAGCAGUGGGGAAUUUUGGACAAUGGGCGAAAGCCUGAUCCAGCCAUGCCGCGUGAGUGAAGAAGGCCUUCGGGUUGUAAAGCUCUUUCGGUGGGGAAGAAAUUGCAUGGGCUAAUACCCUGUGUAGAUGACGGUACCUGGAGAAGAAGCACCGGCUAACUACGUG
rnacentral:rRNA from 1 species